rnacentral:rRNA from 1 species
UACAGAGGUCUCAAGCGUUGUUCGGAUUCCUUGGGCGUAACGGGUGCGUAGGCGGCGCGGUAAGUCGGGUGUGAAAUCUCGGAGCUUAACUCCGAAACUGCAUUCGAUACUGCCGUGCUUGAGGACUGGAGAGGAGACUGGAAUUUACGGUGUAGCGGUGAAAUGCGUAGAUAUCGUAAGGAAGACCAGUGGCGAAGGCGGGUCUCUGGACAGUUCCUGACGCUGAGGCACGAAGGUCAGGGGAGCAAACGGG